rnacentral:tRNA from 1 species
GCGCCCGUAGCGUAGCUUGGAAUCGCAGCGGACUUAUGAUCCGCCAAACGCGCCGUUCUGAUACAGCGGUGAUCGCAGGUUCAAAUCCUGCCGGGCGCA